rnacentral:rRNA from 1 species
AGCGAACGCUGGCGGCAGGCCUAACACAUGCAAGUCGAACGAACCCUUCGGGGUUAGUGGCGGACGGGUGAGUAACACGUGGGAACGUGCCUUUAGGUUCGGAAUAACUCAGGGAAACUUGUGCUAAUACCGAAUGUGCCCUUCGGGGGAAAGAUUUAUCGCCUUUAGAGCGGCCCGCGUCUGAUUAGCUAGUUGGUGAGGUAAUGGCUCACCAAGGCUACGAUCAGUAGCUGGUCUGAGAGGAUGACCAGCCACAUUGGGACUGAGACACGGCCCAAACUCCUACGGGAGGCGGCAGUGGGGAAUCUUGCGCAAUGGGCGAAAGCCUGACGCGGCCAUGCCGCGUGGAUGAUGAAGGUCUUAGGAUUGUAAAAUCCUUUCACCGGUGAAGAUAAUGACUGUAGCCGGAGAAGAAGCCCCGGCUAACUUCGUGCCAGCCGCCGCCGUAAUAC